AUUGAACGCUGGCGGCAUGCUUUAUACAUGCAAGUCGAACGGUAACAGGGAGCUUGCUCCGCUGACGAGUGGCGAACGGGUGAGUAAUGCGUCGGAACGUGCCGAGUAGUGGGGGAUAACGCAUCGAAAGGUGUGCUAAUACCGCAUACGUACUGAGGUAGAAAGUGGGGGACCUUCGGGCCUCACGCUAUUCGAGCGGCCGACGUCUGAUUAGUUAGUUGGUGAGGUAAAGGCUCACCAAGGCGACGAUCAGUAGCGGGUCUGAGAGGAUGAUCCGCCACACUGGGACUGAGACACGGCCCAGACUCCUACGGGAGGCAGCAGUGGGGAAUUUUGGACAAUGGGCGCAAGCCUGAUCCAGCCAUGCCGCGUGUCUGAAGAAGGCCUUCGGGUUGUAAAGGACUUUUGUCCGGGAGCAAAUGCCUGGUGUUAAUAGCAUCGGGAGCUGAGAGUACCGGAAGAAUAAGCACCGGCUAACUACGUGCCAGCCGCCGCAGUAAUAC
rnacentral:rRNA from 1 species